rnacentral:lncRNA from 7 species
AAAUGAGAGCCAAGAGGGUUGUGGCACUUGUGGUUUAUUUUAGAGGUGGUUUAUUCUCUGAAAAGAGAAAAAAAAAAAAAAAAAGAAAGAAACAGAAGAAAAAAAAAGAAAGAAAGAAAGAAACAUUCUGAAAUUUUCACAUGGAAUAGAGAUCUCGUCUGCGUCCUGCUGAGUUGCUUUAAAGAAAACUUUGGUCUCCAAAGACAUCAGUGAGAAAACUAACAAGAGCAUUUUGGGAGAAUAACUAUUUGAUGCCAGAAGGACACUCGGGAUGAAAUUCAGUUGUCUAAACUGGCAUCUAUGGUCCUUGCUAGACCUCGUGGGACAGUGUCUGAGAGAACUGCACCAGGCUGGCUGACAUUAUGUGGGACCUAGGGGAGCUCUGUGCCCUCAUGGCAAAACAGAUGGAUUACCAUUUUGCAAAACCUCUCUGAACAAGAGAUGUAUUAUUCCCAUUUUGGAUGAGAGAAGUCAACGUGGGAUUGCUUCCCUGAGUUACCUGGAAAGUGUGACGCUGAAAGAGUAUUUCACCUCAAAGCUCCUGCAGCCCUUUCCACAGGAACAUUUCUUCUACCUAAGCAUUAAUUGUUUUCCUAAUCCCACUCUCCCUCCUAAUCCCAUUCUCCCCCAAAGGAGAAUAGCUAAAUGUAAAAGAAAGCAAGGUAAAACAGUUACAGGUGUCUAGAACGGCUCAGUACUUGUGCUGUAUUUGCCUGUAUAGUGCUCCUUCUGUCUUGCCCAUUUAGGCAAACAUUGUCUCUUUGUAUGCUCCCACACUUUGUGUUUAAUGAUACUGCCCUUAUGUCUUCUACCUCUGAUACAAGAUCCUGAAAAAAAAAAAAAAAAAAAAGUAUUUUUCAACUUGAAUGGAAUUCUUUUGUCCAGUCUAAAGUUGCGCUUCACUCCUCAGUGUUCCUUGCCUGCCAAAGG